rnacentral:tRNA from 1 species
GCGAGCGUGGUGGAACUGGCAGACACGCCAGAUUUAGGAUCUGGUGCCGAAAGGCGUGGGGGUUCGAUUCCCUUCGCUCGCA